rnacentral:rRNA from 1 species
AUUGAACGCUGGCGGCAUGCUUUACACAUGCAAGUCGAACGGUAACAGGGAGCUUGCUCCGCUGACGAGUGGCGAACGGGUGAGUAAUGCGUCGGAACGUGCCGAGUAGUGGGGGAUAACGCAUCGAAAGGUGUGCUAAUACCGCAUACGUACUGAGGUAGAAAGUGGGGGACCUUCGGGCCUCACGCUAUUCGAGCGGCCGACGUCUGAUUAGCUAGUUGGUGAGGUAAAGGCUCACCAAGGCGACGAUCAGUAGCGGGUCUGAGAGGAUGAUCCGCCACACUGGGACUGAGACACGGCCCAGACUCCUACGGGAGGCAGCAGUGGGGAAUUUUGGUAAAUGGGCAAAAGCCUGAUCCAGCCAUGCCGCGUGUCUGAAGAAGGCCUUCGGGUUGUAAAGGACUUUUGUCGGGGAGGAAAUCCCCAGCGUUAAUACCGCUGGGGGAUGACAGUACCUGAAGAAUAAGCACCGGCUAACUACGUGCCAGCCGCCGCGGUAAUAC